ACAUCUUGUUUUCUUCUCUCCACUUCACCGCCUUCGUUGGCGUGCCUCUCGACACCAACAUCUUCAUUUAUACGCCAUCCUCCUCGCCUGCAGGCUGCAGAAAGGCAUUGGCCAUCAAAGAUCUAACCUCAGUAUGGCAUUUACCCCUUAAGCAGCCACAUUGCACUUAAACUGUUCGAAGAAACUCCCCAUUGCUCCAUCUAACAUUUUUGUUUCAUUUUUUUUCCACCUGCUAAAGCUUAUAUGACAAGUCUCUGAACCUCAUUGCCCAAUAUAAAAAUAAACUUCCUGUUGAUUUGAUUUUGAAGUUCAGCAUACACUCUUCAUCAUGGAUAAUACAGCAUUUCAAAGUUUUCUUCAGGUCCUUCCCCCUGUUCAAUUUGCAUGUGUCUACGGAUCAUCUCUUCAUCCAGCCAACCAUGACAAGACAACCAUGACGGAUUAUAUUCUCGGUGUGUCUGACCCCAAGCAAUGGCAUUCUGAGAAUCUGAAAUUGAACAAGCAUCACUAUGCGUCAUGGAUGGUGCACCUUGGUGGAGAGAGGCUGAUUACCGAAGUUGCCGAUAAAAUUGGUGUGGGAGUACAUUUCAACCCCUUUGUUACUUGGAACGGAAAGUUGUUCAAGUAUGGGGUUGUUCGCAUGAAUGACUUACUUCAGGAUGUACAGUACUGGGAGAAAUUCUACUUGUGUGGCCGCUUACAGAAACCAGUUCAUAUUGUUGUUGAUAAUUUGGACAUUAACAAAACCAAUUCUGUUAACUUGAGAGCUGCAGUGUCAGCUGCUCUACUUUUGCUUCCAUCAGAAUUUGCAGAGGAAGAUCUGUAUGCCAAAGUAUGUAGUCUCUCAUAUACAGGUGAUGUACGGAUGUUAUUUGCUGAGGAUAAAAACAAGGUGAAGAAGAUUGUAACUGGGCAGUUUGAUUUAUUCCACUCAAUGUAUAAGCCAUUUCUUGAAGAAUACGAGGCUAAGAAGUUGUUACGGCUUUCAACAACAGCAAAUAACCGAAUGCAAGUUUCUCAGGAUUGUGACUUAUCAGUUGCUUGCUCUUUAGUUUCUGCCCUUCCUCUGUCAAUCAGAAGCCAGAUGCGCAUGAAGCAAGGAGAGAAAAUGAAAUUAAGUGAAACUGGUAUGCUUCUAAUAUGUUUCUAAUAUGUUAAAAUUGUUUCUGAAUUAUUGCUUCAGUUCUUGAUGCCUAAUGUUGUUGGAGUCUAAAUCCUGAAAGGGAAAGAUCGGAGGGGGUUAGAGGACAGUAAAGUAGGGUCAUAGAUAAUACUAAAAUCAGCUCAAGAGAAGAAGCUGCAAGUUACUUGCAGAGAAUUCUGAGGCGAAGAGUAAUGGUUUCAAGUGCAAGGCAGGCCAUAGCUGGACUUCUGGCUGUUGGUGGGGUAAAUGCAACCAGGUAUGUUGCUAAGAAAGUUAGCAAAUCCUGGAAGUCGUGGAGAUGACUUUGCUGUAUUGACAUUCAGAGGGAUGAGGCUUUGUAGCUUGGAUACUCACCUUGGGAAGUUUACAUAUAGAUUACUGACUAUUUUCUGUUCUCAUCUAUCAUGUUAUCUUGGAGGUAACCUUUUCCCUCAAUACUCCACCCUUCACAAUCAAAGGCAUCAUCAAAGACAGCAAGAGAUUUAGUGACUGGUGCUUUAUCAUUAACCUUGCCAAUACAUUUUGUAGUCAAAUUUAGCAGUGGUUUGUUGGGUAAAGGGAAUAUAAUUUAUGGAACAGAAAAUUUGAAUUUCAAAUGUAUAGACCUAUCUGUUUC